rnacentral:rRNA from 1 species
GAUGAACGCUGGCGGCGUGCUUAACACAUGCAAGUCGAACGGAAAGGCCCCAGCUUGCUUGGGUACUCGAGUGGCGAACGGGUGAGUAACACGUGGGCGAUCUGCCCUGCACUUUGGGAUAAGCCUGGGAAACUGCGUCUAAUACUGGAUAGGACGAUGGUUUGGAUGCGAUUGUGGAGAGUUUUUUGGGUGUGGGAUGAGCUCGCGGCAUCUCAGCGUUUUGGUGGGGUAUGGGCCUACAACGGCGUAGAGGGGUAGCCGGCCUGAGAGGGGGUCGGCACACUGUGGGACUGAGACAGGCCACAGACUCCUGGGGGGCAGCAGAGGGGAAUAUUGUACAAUGUGGGCAAGCGUGAUGCAGAGAGGCGGCGUGGGGGAUGACGGCGUUCUGGGGGUAUACACCUCUCGCUAGGGACAAGGCGUUAUUGUGACGGUACCUGGAGAAGAAGCACCGGCUAACUACGUG